CCUACGGGGUGCAGCAGUGAGGAAUAUUGGUCAAUGGACGAGAGUCUGAACCAGCCAAGUAGCGUGAAGGAUGACUGCCCUAUGGGUUGUAAACUUCUUUUAUAUGGGAAUAAAAUGUUCCACGUGUGGGAUUUUGUAUGUACCAUAUGAAUAAGGAUCGGCUAACUCCGUGCCAGCAGCCGCGGUAAUACGGAGGAUCCGAGCGUUAUCCGGAUUUAUUGGGUUUAAAGGGAGCGUAGGUGGAUUGUUAAGUCAGUUGUGAAAGUUUGCGGCUCAACCGUAAAAUUGCAGUUGAAACUGGCAGUCUUGAGUACAGUAGAGGUGGGCGGAAUUCGUGGUGUAGCGGUGAAAUGCUGAGAUAUCACGAAGAACUCCGAUUGCGAAGGCAGUUCACUGGACUGCAACUGACACUGAGGCUCGAAAGUGUGGGUAUCAAACAGGAUUAGAUACCCUUGUAGUC
rnacentral:rRNA from 1 species